rnacentral:tmRNA from 4 species
GGGGGCGUUCUUGGGAUUCGACGGGGAUAGUUCGAGCGUCAGUAGCGAGCCGAGGGGCUGCGUUUCUCGUUAAACACGCGGAAGCCAAAUGUAACUGGCAAACAAGAAAACUACGCUCUGGCUGCUUAAUUAACCAGCCAGGACUCGCUUCUCCAUCGCCUGUGUGGAGCUGCCGGGUCUCAUAAUCCAGCAGGCUAGCUGACCGAUCGGCCGCUGAUCGGAAGGCGAAUUUCAAGCGGCUAGUCUUUAAAAGCGCCUGUCACUGGGCAGUUUUAAAGGCGAAUCUUCAAUACAGUGACUGCGCUCGGAGAAGCUGGCGUGGCGAUGUCUUCGGACAGCGGUUCGACUCCGCUCGCCUCCACCA